rnacentral:rRNA from 1 species
AUUGAACGCUGGCGGCAGGCCUAACACAUGCAAGUCGAGCGAGCGGCGUACGGGUGAGUCAUGUAUGUGGCUCUUCCCGCUAGAGGGCGAUCCCUACUGGAAACUGUUGCUACUUCCGCAUACUAUCGGAUGAACCCAUCUGGGAUUAGCUGGUAGGUGGGGUAAAGGCUAACCUAGACGACGAUCUCUAGCUGGUCUGAGAGGAUGAUCAGCAACACUGGUACGGAGACACGGCCCAGAAUCCUACGGGAGGCAGCAGUGGGGAAUAUUGAACAAUGGGCGAAAGCCUGAUGCAGCCAUGCCGCGUGUAUGAAGAAGGCCUUAGGGUUGUAAAGUACUUUAAGCGGGGAGGCGUUACCCGCAGAAGAAGCACCGGCUAACUCCGUGCCAGCAGCCGCGGUAAUAC